CCGAGAAUAGCUCAGCUGGCAGAGCGGGAGACUGUAGUGUUCGUCAAAGUAGUUGGGCUGCGAUUGUCAUCUCUAGGUCCCUGGUUCAAUUCCGGGUUCUCGGA